rnacentral:rRNA from 1 species
CGGGGAACGAUAACGGCGUCGAGCGGCGGACGGGUGAGUAAUGCCUAGGAAAUUGCCCUGAUGUGGGGGAUAACCAUUGGAAACGAUGGCUAAUACCGCAUGAUGCCUACGGGCCAAAGAGGGGGACCUUCGGGCCUCUCGCGUCAGGAUAUGCCUAGGUGGGAUUAGCUAGUUGGUGAGGUAAGGGCUCACCAAGGCGACGAUCCCUAGCUGGUCUGAGAGGAUGAUCAGCCACACUGGAACUGAGACACGGUCCAGACUCCUACGGGAGGCAGCAGUGGGGAAUAUUGCACAAUGGGCGCAAGCCUGAUGCAGCCAUGCCGCGUGUAUGAAGAAGGCCUUCGGGUUGUAAAGUACUUUCAGUCGUGAGGAAGGCGGCGUCGUUAAUAGCGGCGUUGUUUGACGUUAGCGACAGAAGAAGCACCGGCUAACUCCGUGCCAGCAGCCGCGGUAAUACGGAGGGUGCGAGCGUUAAUCGGAAUUACUGGGCGUAAAGCGCAUGCAGGUGGUUUGUUAAGUCAGAUGUGAAAGCCCGGGGCUCAACCUCGGAAUAGCAUUUGAAACUGGCAGACUAGAGUACUGUAGAGGGGGGUAGAAUUUCAGGUGUAGCGGUGAAAUGCGUAGAGAUCUGAAGGAAUACCGGUGGCGAAGGCGGCCCCCUGGACAGAUACUGACA